rfam:Ricinus communis cultivar Hale ctg_1100012359228, whole genome shotgun sequence.
AAGGCUUCAUCGUAUUGUUUACUGUAAGCUUUCAGCUUUAGACUGCUUUUAAUCAGCUAGUGCUGCUGUUAGUGAAGCCAAAAUUAGUCGUUUCCCUCGCUAUCCAAUGCCUGCGACUAUGUUGCAUUUGGACGUCAGGAAACUAUAUUC